rnacentral:rRNA from 1 species
GUGGGGAAUAUUGGGCAAUGGGGGAAACCCUGACCCAGCAACGCCGCGUGAAGGAAGAAGGUUUUCGGAUCGUAAACUUCUAUCCUUGGUGAAGAUAAUGACGGUAGCCAAGAAGGAAGCCCCGGCUAACUACGUGCCAGCAGCCGCGGUAAUACGUAGGGGGCAAGCGUUGUCCGGAAUGAUUGGGCGUAAAGGGCGCGUAGGCGGCCUGGUAAGUCUGGAGUGAAAGUCCUGCUUUUAAGGUGGGAAUUGCUUUGGAUACUGUCGGGCUUGAGUGCAGGAGAGGUAAGCGGAAUUCCCGGUGUAGCGGUGAAAUGCGUAGAGAUCGGGAGGAACACCAGUGGCGAAGGCGGCUUACUGGACUGUAACUGACGCUGAGGCGCGAAAGUAUGGGGAGCAAACAGGAUUAGAUACCCGUGUAGUCC